UACAGAGGUCCCAAGCGUUGUUCGGAUUCACUGGGCGUAAAGGGUGCGUAGGUGGCCAGGUAAGUCUGAUGUGAAAUCUCGGAGCUCAACUCCGAAACUGCAUUGGGUACUAUCUGGCUGGAGGGUCGGAGGGGGGACUGGAAUUCUCGGUGUAGCAGUGAAAUGCGUAGAUAUCGAGAGGAACACCAGUGGCGAAGGCGAGUCCCUGGACGACUCCUGACACUGAGGCACGAAAGCUAGGGGAGCAAACAGG
rnacentral:rRNA from 1 species